rnacentral:rRNA from 1 species
UACGUAGGUCCCGAGCGUUAUCCGGAUUUAUUGGGCGUAAAGCGAGCGCAGGUGGUUUAAUAAGUCUGAUGUAAAAGGCAGUGGCUCAACCAUUGUGUGCAUUGGAAACUGUUAGACUUGAGUGCAGUAGAGGAGAGUGGAAUUCCAUGUGUAGCGGUGAAAUGCGUAGAUAUAUGGAGGAACACCGGUGGCGAAAGCGGCUCUCUGGACUGUAACUGACACUGAGGCUCGAAAGCGUGGGUAGCAAACAGG